GCUUCACAGUUCCUGGAUGGAGAUGUGGAAAUGGAAAUGGUACCUNAUCAGCAUCCCCAUUGAGCCACCAGCCAAACUUUUGCUUUAUGACCCAAAAGCUUAUGCUCUCUUGGCCUAGAAGUUUUGACCCCCGAUAGUGGGGGUGCUUUGGUCAGGAGACAUCCCACUGAACUGGAAGCUAAGACUACUCUCUAGCCACAUUGGAAGCAACCAUAGAGUUAGNAGGGGUGGUUGACCCAGACCAAAUGAAAUUGGACUCUUUCCCCACAAUGGAGGUAAGGAAGAUCAUAUCAAACGCAAGAGAUCUGCACUGUGAUUAAAGCCAAUGGGAAACUACAACAACUCAANCCAGGUAGGAUGAUACAUAACCCAGACCUUUCAAGAGUGAAGGCAUUGGUCACUUCUCCAGGUAAAGGACCAAGAAUGCCUGAUUUGCUUGCUGAGGGUGAAGGGACUAGGGAACGGGUGUAGAAGAUAGUUAUAACUCCAGCUAAGGCUACGAAAUCUGUUAUAGAAAUGGGGAUUGUUAGUGCCAAGAAUGUUUCUGUNCCUAUUGUGUUCAGACUAUGUUUGAGCAGAUAGAUGCAUUUAUUAAGCAAAUAUCAGUAUUUUUGUUCUUUUUGUGUUCCUUUAUCCAGUAAUGUAAUGACUAAGAUGCUAUCAGUCGUUAAAUGUUCUUAAAUUUAUCUUGUCAUAGUUAAGCCAUAGGACAAUAGAAGACCACAUUCCUCCAGGGACCUUGCCAAUUUUUUGAGGAAAAUACAGUGCAUUUUCACUGGUAGUGAGAUAACUAUAUAACAUUAGUCUCAAGUAAGAAACACGUUUGGUAGAAGCCCCUCCCCUAGAGUGGGUGGCCCUUUUCAGUGGUAACCACCUACAUAAAGGAAGUCUUCUGGGGGAAACUCUGCNGUUUGCUGGCCUGCCUUCACUUCCUGCUGCUGGUGAGAGUGUUAAUCCUUGCUGCAGCUGUGCAUCCUCAUGACAUCAUACUCCAGUGUCUCUGAGAUCCAGUAGACACUGAAGAUCGGUAGCUCUCCAGGAGUCUUCAAGGUACCAGGUUUGGAAGUGCUGAGGCAUCUGGCUUUGUAACCUGAACAGCUCCCAGGUUCCAGCCAUUGUUGGACUGGGCUGUGUGGACCCAUCCAGCACACUCAGGUGAUAACAGGAGAUGGAGAAGUCAGAGGGAAGAAAGUCUGUUUCCCAGGCCACAGUGGAGAAUGGCAUGGAGAACCCAGGCCUCGAGCUCAUGGAAGGCGGAAAUCUUGAGCAAAGAAUCACACUGGAGGAAGUGACACAGGGGCUCAGCCUGGAGGAUGGCUUGGGGCAUUCCUCUCUCUGGAG